AUGGCGCAAAGGCCGGAAGCAAACCAAGUAUUUGAAAGAGUGAACAUUAAAAUAUUUAGACAAAGAUUAAAACAUAUGGAAAUGAGUAGCUACUGCUGGUAGAUAGUUGCUUACUGAUGAUACAUAGUGUUCUAAGUUUACAAAUGAUUAUUUACAAUGUUCUUAGCAAGGAAGUAGAUAGCCAGAGAUAUAUCAUAUAGACGCUAUGAAGUGAAGAAUAUUAGAUAGACCCAUUGCCGCGCGUUUCAUCGGUAUUGACAACAACUUUCUUGUCCAGGCAACUCUUCAUAGUAGUUGCGAUUGGUGACUCACAUUGCCUAGAGCAGAAAUUCCUUCAAUAUGUAGUCGACUGGUGGAGCUCCGCGACGAUCGGCUCUCCACCAUCACUACGGAAAAGCUUCGCCUCCUUUGGCAUACUCAUUAUAUGGAGCAUUUCGAAGCACCGCAACUCCAUGGUAUUUGAUACUGCUCGCCCCUCCAUGGAUCUGGUGAUCCAGAGCAUUCUCGAUGAGGCACGUUCUUGGGCCCUGGCCGGGGCUAGGGGAUUUGCGGUGAUCACCCAAUUUGAGCCACCAUAGGCGUGCACCUGUUUGUGUUUGAGCUGAGCACCCCGGCUUCUUCUGCUCAUUGUAGAUCCAUCCUCGCCCUCCGGUGUACGAGCUAUGUAUCUACCACCUUGUAACUCUUGUUCUCCUACCUAUCAAUGAAAUGAUACACAUCUUGUGUAUUCAUGAGAAAAAAGGACAGAGGCCACCCAAGUGAGAACAAUGACCAACACGAGGAAAUCCAUUUAAGCAGUGCCAAAGGCAGAAAAUAGUAGAGAUGGAAAAACAAUUUUGCAAGCAUCAAAGCAGUCCAUGGCCUCUGCCACACCGAUCAAGAAGCAAGAAAAACACUACAUUGAACUAUAGUUUUUGUUAGACCUCAUGUCCAGAACAGUGUGACCGUUUAUUGCAGUUCAAAAUUCUCAUUGAUCAUAGAGUGAAAUGAGCAUCUAUGAAUAAAGAGCGUGCAGUAAGAAAUGUGUGCACUGUACUGCCAAAUUUCUUGACUGACUCUACCAACCUCACAUACUUUCUCCUGCUAGCGAUGUCUGUGUUCCUACAAAGGGAAGCAAAACGUUCAACUAUUACCACUCCACUUCCAGUAUAUAUAUGGUACCAACAGCUUGGCAUAGAAUCUAAUGUUUUCCUGUGAGUUCAUGUAUCGGCCAUUGGGAGAAUAUUACAGGGUGGAGGCAGAAGGAGAAUAAUUAAAUAGCAAGACCGUACAUGAAAAUAAGCUGCAACAUGCAACUCAUGAAGUAAAAAAGAGAUCUUACUUCUCAAAUGUGCUUCAUAGCCAUCCAAAUACACUCUUUUUGUAAACUUAUACAUUGUUUAUCCCAAACCGUUUGGAACCCAUACAGCAGCAGCACUAUUUCUGCAGAAAUUAUCAAAGCCAACAGUUUUAGCAUGUCUGCGUCUCACACUCGAGAUUUAUAUAUUUAUAUUCAUUACUGCUAGCAAACAAAGAAACUAUCGUACCUAAUAAAGCAAGGAUCAGGAAUGGUCUAUUAAACCAACAAACUGAACAGAUCUUUUAAAACCACUCCUAGAGAGCACGAGCAGCAGAGGUCAAAUAUAUUUCGAGCCCAAAGCACUCAACCUUAGCAUGCUAGCAUCAGAAACUAAUGUAGAGAAGAACAACUGCCAUUGAAUGUUCUGCAAAUCUAGUAGAUCAUCAAUUGGACAGAUAUAAUGAGCAGACAUUUGUGACACAGAGAAAGAAAGCUUUCGAUGAACAGCACCAUAGGGAGGUGCCUCGCUACUGGUUGUACCAAGCUUUUGACGGACAGGACAACGGGGAGGCAUGGCUCUACUGGUAGGACAUAAGCAAUGGGAGGUCGGUCGGCAAGAAGCACGCAGCACACCGAAACAUAAAUACUAACUGGAGAAAUCUUGACGAUUUAAAAAUAAAUAAACAGAUGCAACAAAAUAAGCUUAUAAUCAAUCGAGUUGUGGACUUGUUUAUAUGAAGAAGGAUCACCAAAGGAAAUAGUAGAUCAAGAAAGAAAACCAAAAAACACAUUAGAAAGUAAACAUGGGGCAAAAUGAAUAAAGUAAAACCAAGACAGAGGUCACCCAAGGCAGAACAUCAAACAGUGCGAGAAAGGAACAUCAAAGAUACACUAAAGAGAGAAAACAGCGAAGAGGAAAAAGUCCAUGCAAAUAUAAAAAGAAGCCAUGCCCAUGGCCUCCAAAAAACUGAUCAAGAAGCAGAGAAAACAGUACACCGAUCAACCAAUGCAUUUUUCAGAUUUAGAACAUACCUAGGAACUUUUUUUUGAGAAACCGAACAUACUUAGGAACUACCCCAUUGGGCUACCAUUGGUGAAGUAUCUUGAUUCUUUCUAUAACAUAGUACGGUAAAAGGAAAGGCACAGACACAGUUUACACCCACAACCCCGAAACAAUAUCAACCAUGACCCAUAGAAUAAAGGUAAAACCUUGUAAAUUCUUAAUAAAAACUACACCCAUUGGGCUUAUAAUCAAGCAAGGUACUCCCUCUGUAAAGAAAUAUAAAAGCGUUUGGAUCACUAUUUUAGUGAUGUAGACACUCUUAUAUUUCUUUACGGAGGGAGUAACAUAUAUCAACCCCGUUUUCUUGAACGCUUCUGCUCGCGAUCUACAAGGGUAUGUAGAUGCACUCCCCUCUCCCUCGUUGCUAGAUGACUCCAUAGAUUGAUCUUGGUGAUGCGUAGAAAAUUUUAAAAUUCUGCUACGUUCCCCAACAGUGGCAUCAUGAGCUAGGUCUAUGCGUAGUUUCUAUGCACGAGUAGAACACAAAGCAGUUGUGGGCGUCGAUAUUGUCAAUUUACUUGCCGUUACUAGUAUUAUCUUGAUUCGGCGGCAUCGUGGGAUGAAGCGCCCGGACCGGCCUUACACGUACGCUUACGUGAGACUAGUUCCACAGACUGACAUGCACUAGUUGCAUAAGGUGGCUAGCGGGUGUCUGUCUCUCCCACUUUAGUUGGAUCGGAUUCGAUGAAAAGGGUCCUUAUGAAGGGUAAAUAGAAAUUGGCAUAUCACGUUGUGGUUUUGGCGUAGGUAAGAAACGUUCUUGCUAGAAACCUAUAGCAGCCACGUAAAAACUUGCAACAACAAUUAGAGGACGUCUAACUUGUUUUUGCAGCAUGUGCUAUGUGAUGUGAUAUGGCCAAAAGGAUGUGAUGAAUGAUAUAUGUGUUGUAUGAGAUUGAUCAUGUUCUUGUAAUAGGAAUCACGACUUGCAUGUCGAUGAGUAUGACAAUCGGCAGGAGCCAUAGGAGUUGUCUUAAUUUAUUUAUGACCUGCGUGUCAACAUAAAUGUCAUGUAAUUACUUUACUUUAUUGCUAAACCAUUAGCCAUAGUAGUAGAAGUAAUAGAUGACGAGACAACUUCAUGAAGACACGAUGAUGGAGAUCAUGGUGUCAUGCCGGUGACGAUGGUCAUGGCGCCCCGAAGAUGGAGAUCAAAAGGAGCAAAUGAUAUUGGCCAUAGCAUGUCACUAUUUGAUUGCAUGUGAUGUUUAUCAUGUUUUUACAUCUUAUUUGCUUAGAACGACGGUAGCUUAAAUAAGAUGAUCCCUCACAUAAUUUCAAGAAAGUGUUCCCCCUAACUAUGCACCGUUGCGAAGGUUCGUCGUUUCAAAGCACCACAUGAUGAUCGGGUGUGAUAGAUUCUAACGUUCGAAUACAACGGGUGUAAGCCAGAUUUACACACGCAAUACACUUAGGUUGACUUGACGAGCCUAGCAUGUACAUACAUGGACUCGGAACACGAAAGACCGAAAGGUCGAACAUGAGUCGUAUGGAAGAUACGAUCAACAUGGAGAUGUUCACUGAUGAUGACUAGUCCGUCUCACGUGAUGAUCGGACACGGUCUAGUUGAGUCGGAUCAUGUAUCACUUAGAUGACUAGAGGGAUGUCUAAUCUGAGUGCGAGUUCAUUGAAUAAUUUGAUUAGAUGAACUUAAUUAUCAUGAACUUAGUCUAAAAUAUUUACAAUAUGUCUUGUAGAUCAAAUGGCCCACGCUAAUGUUGCCCUCAACUUCAACGCGUUCCUAGAGAAAACCAAGCUGAAAGAUGAUGGCAGCAACUAUAUGGACUGGGUCCGGAACCUGAGGAUCAUCCUCAUAGCUGCCAAGAAAGAUUAUGUCCUAGAAGCACCACUAGGUGAUGCACCCAUCCCAGAGAACCAAGACGUUAUGAACACUUGGCAACAGCGUGCUGAUGAUUACUCCCUCGUUCAGUGCGGCAUGCUUUAUAGCUUAGAAUCGGGGCUCCAAAAGCGUUUUGAGCAACACGGAGCAUAUGAGAUGUUCGAAGAGCUGAAAAUGGUUUUCCAAGCUCAUGCCCGGGUCGAGAGAUAUGAAGUCUCCGACAAGUUCUUCAGUUGUAAGAUGGAGGAAAAUAGUUCUGUCAGUGAGCACAUACUCAAAAUGUCUGGGUUGCACAACCGCUUGACUCAGCUGGGAGUUAAUCUUCCGGAUGACGCGGUCAUUGACAGAAUCCUUCAGUCGCUUCCACCGAGCUACAAGAGCUUUGUGAUGAACUUCAAUAUGCAGGGGAUGGAAAAGACCAUUCCUGAGGUAUAUUCAAUGCUAAAAUCAGCGGAGGUGAAGAUCAAAAAGGAACAUCAAGUGUUGAUGGUGAAUAAAACCACUAAGUUUAAGGAAGGCAAGGGUAAGAAGAACUUCAAGAAGGACGACAAGGGGGUUGCCGCGCCCGGUAAGCAAGCUGCUGGGAAGAAGCCAAAGAAUGGACCCAAGCCCGAGACUGGGUGUUUUUAUUGCAAAGGAAGUGGUCACUGGAAGCGGAACUGCCCUAAAUACUUAGCGGACAAGAAGGCCGGCAACACUAAAGGUAUAUGUGAUAUACAUGUAAUUGAUGUGUACCUUACCAGUACUCGUAGUAGCUCCUGGGUAUUUGAUACCGGUGCGGUUGCUCACAUUUGUAACUCAAAGCAGGAGCUACGGAAUAAGCGGAGACUGGCGAAGGACGAGGUGACGAUGCGUGUCGGGAAUGGUUCCAAGGUCGAUGUGAUCGCCGUCAGCACGCUACCUCUACAUUUACCUACAGGAUUAGUUUUAAACCUCAAUAAUUGUUAUUUAGUGCCAGCUUUGAGCAUGAACAUUGUAUCAGGAUCUCGUUUAAUUCGAGAUGGCUACUCAUUUAAAUCCGAGAAUAAUGGUUGUUCUAUUUAUAUGAGAGAUAUGUUUUAUGGUCAUGCCCCGCUGGUGAAUGGUUUAUUCUUAAUGAAUCUCGAGCGUAAUGUUACACAUAUUCAUAGUGUGAAUACCAAAAGAUGUAAGGUUGAUAAUGAUAGUCCCACAUACUUGUGGCACUGCCGCCUUGGUCACAUAUGUGUCAAACGCAUGAAGAAGCUCCAUGCAGAUGGACUUUUGGAGUCUCUUGAUUACGAAUCAUUUGACACGUGCGAACCAUGCCUCAUGGGUAAAAUGACCAAGACUCCGUUCUCAGGAACAAUGGAGCGAGCAACCAACUUAUUGGAAAUCAUACAUACUGAUGUGUGCGGUCCAAUGAGUGUUGAGGCUCGCAGUGGCUAUUGUUAUGUUCUCGCCCUCACUGAUGACUUGAGUAGAUAUGGGUAUGUCUACUUAAUGAAACACAAUUCUGAGACCUUUGAAAAGUUCAAGGAAUUUCAGAAUGAGGUUGAGAAUCAACGUGACAGGAAAAUCAAGUUCUUGCGAUCAGAUCGUGGGGGAGAAUACUUGAGUCACGAAUUUGGCACGCACUUAAGGAAAUGUGGAAUAGUUUCACAACUCACGCCCCCUGGAACACCUCAGCGUAAUGGUGUGUCCGAAUGUCGUAAUCACACUCUAUUGGAUAUGGUGCGAUCUAUGAUGUCACUCACUGAUUUACCGCUAUCAUUUUGGGGAUACGCUCUAGAGACAGCUACAUUCACUUUAAAUAGGGCACCGGCUAAAUCCAUUGAGAUGACACCGUAUGAAUUAUGGUUUGGGAAGAAACCUAAGCUGUCAUUUCUAAAAGUUUGGGGAUGCGAUGCUUAUGUCAAGAAACUUCAACCUGAAAAGCUCGAACCCAAAUCGGAAAAAUGCGUCUUCAUAGGAUACCCUAAAGAAACUAUUGGGUAUACCUUCUACCUCAGAUCCGAAGGCAAGAUCUUUGUUGCCAAGAAUGGAUCCUUUCUAGAGAAAGAGUUUCUCUCGAAAGAAGUAAGUGGGAGGAAAGUAGAACUUGAUGAAGUAUUGCCUCUUGAACCGGAGAGUGGCGCAGCUCAAGAAAAUGUUCCUGAGGUGCCUGCACCGACUAGAGAGGAAGUUAAUGAUGAUGAUCAUGAAACUUCAGAUCAAGUUGCUACUGAACUUCGUAGGUCCACAAGGACACGUUCCGCACCAGAGUGGUACGGCAACCCUGUCUUGGAAAUCAUGUUGUUAGACAACGGUGAACCUUCGAACUAUAAGGAAGAGAUGGCGGGCCCAGAUUCCGACAAAUGGCUAGAAGCCAUGAAAUCCGAGAUAUGAUCCAUGUAUGAAAAUGAAGUAUGGACUUUGACUGACUUGCCCGAUGAUCGGCGAGCCAUAGAAAAUAAAUGGAUCUUUAAAAAGAAGACAGACGCAGAUGGUAAUGUGACCAUCUACAAGGCUCGACUCGUCGCUAAGGGUUAUUGACAAGUUCAAGGGGUUGACUACGAUGAGACUUUCUCACCCGUAGCGAAGCUGAAGUCCGUCCGAAUCAUGUUAGCAAUUGCCGCAUUCUAUGAUUAUGAGAUAUGGCAAAUGGACGUCAAAACGGCAUUCCUUAACGACUUUCUUAAGGAAGAAUUGUAUAUGAUGCAUCCGGAAGGUUUUGUCGAUCCUAAGAAUGCCAACAAGGUGUGCAAGCUCCAACGCUCAAUCUAUGGGUUGGUGCAAGCAUCUCAGAGUUGGAACAUUCGAUUUGAUGAGAUGAUCAAAGCGUUUGGGUUUACACAGACUUAUGGAGAAGCCUGUGUUUACAAGAAAGUGAGUGGGGGCUCCGUAGCAUUUCUCAUAUUAUAUGUGGAUGACAUACUAUUGAUGGGAAAUGAUAUAGAAUUCUUGGAAAGCAUAAAGGCCUACUUGAACAAGUAUUUUUCAAUGAAGGACCUUGGAGAAGCUGCUUAUAUAUUAGGCAUCAAAAUCUAUAGAGAUAGAUCAAGACUCCUCAUUGGUCUUUCACAAAGUACGUACCUUGACAAGAUAUUGAAGAAGUUCAAUAUGGAUCAGUCCAAGAAGGGGUUCUUGACUGUAUUGCAAGGUAUGAAAUUGAGCACGGCUCAAUGCCCGACCAUGGCAGAAGAUAGAGAAAAGAUGAGUGUCGUCCCCUAUGCCUCGGCCGUAGGGUCUAUUAUGUAUGCCAUGCUGUGUACCAGACCUGAUGUAAACCUUGCCGUAAGUUUGGUAGGAAGGUACCAAAGUAAUCCUGGCAUGGAAGACUGAACAGUGGUCAAGAAUAUCCUGAAGUACCUGAAGAGGACUAAGGAUAUGUUUCUCGUUUAUGGAGGCGACGAAGAGCUCGUCGUAAAGGGUUACGUCGAUGCUAGCUUCGACACAGAUCUGGAUGACUCUAAGUCACAAACCGGAUACGUGUAUAUUUUGAAUGGUGGGGCAGUAAGCUGGUGCAGUUGCAAGCAAAGCGUUGUGGCGGGAUCUACAUGUGAGGCGGAGUACAUGGCAGCCUUGGAGGCAGCACAAGAAGCAAUCUGGGUGAAGGAGUUCAUUACCGUCCUAGGAGUCAUUCCCAAUGCGUCGGGCUCGAUGACUCUCUUAUGUGACAACACUGGAGCUAUUGCCCUUGCCAAGGAGCCCAGGUUUCACAGGAAGACCAGGCAUAUCAAGCGUCGCUUCAACUCCAUUCAUGAAAGUGUUCAAAAUGGAGACAUAGAUAUUUGUAAAGUACAUACGGACCUGAAUGUAGUAGAUCCGUUGACUAAACCUCUCCCUAGAGCAAAACAUGAUCAACACCAGAACUCUAUGGGUGUUCGAUUCAUCACAAUGUAACUAGAUUAUUGACUCUAGUGCAAGUGGGAGACUGUUGGAAAUAUGCCCUAGAGGCAAUGAUAAAAUGGUUAUUAUUAUAUUUCCUUGUUCAUGAUAAUUGUCUAUUGUUCAUGCUAUAAUUGUGUUAUCCGGAAAUCGUAAUACAUGUGUGAAUGCAUAGACCACAACACGUCCCUAGUGAGCCUCUAGUUGACUAGCUCGUUGAUCAAAAGAUAGUCAUGGUUUCCUGACUAUGGACAUUAGAUGUCAUUGAUAACGGGAUCACAUCAUUAGGAGAAUGAUGUGAUGGACAAGACCCAAUCCUAAGCACAGCUCAAAGAUCGUGUAGUUCGUUUGCUAGAGCUUUUCCGAAUGUCAAGUAUCAUUUCCUUAGACCAUGAGAUUGUGCAACUCUCGGAUACCGUAGGAGUGCUUUGGGUGUGCCAAACAUCACAACGUAACUGGGUGACUAUAAAGGUGCACUACGGGUAUCUCUGAAAGUGUCUGUUGGGUUGGCAUGAAUCGAGACUGGGAUUUGUCACUCCGUAUGACGGAGAGGUAUCUCUGGGCCCACUCGGCAAUGCAUCAUCAUAAUGAGCUCAAUGUGACCAAGUGGUUGAUCACGGGAUCAUGCAUUAUGGUACGAGUAAAGUGACUUGCCGGUAACGAGAUUGAACGAGGUAUUGGGAUACCGACGAUCGAGUCUGGGGCGAGUAACGUACCGAUUGACAAAGGGAAUUGUAUACGGGAUUGAUUUAAUCCUCGACAUCGUGGUUCAUCCAAUGAGAUCAUCAUGGAACAUGUGGGAGCCAACAUGGGUAUCCAGAUCCCACUGUUGGUUAUUGACAGGAGAGUCAUCUCGGUCAUGUCUACGUGUCUCCCGAACCCGUAGGGUCUACACACUUAAGGUUCGAUGACACUAGGGUUGUAGAGAUAUUAGUAUGCGGUAACCCAAAAGUUGUUCGGAGUCCCGGAUGAGAUCCCGGACGUCACGAGGAGUUCCGGAAUGGUCCGGAGGUGAAGAAUUAUAUAUAAGAAGUCCAGUUUCGGCCAUCAAGAAAGUUUCGGGGGUCACCGGUAUUGUACCGGGACCACCGGAAGGGUCCCGGGGGUCCACCGGGUGGGGCCACCUAUCCCGGAGGGCCCAUGGGCUGAAGUGGGGAAGGGAACCAGCCCCUGGUGGGCUGGUGCGCCCCCCUUGGGCCUCCCCCUGCGCCUAGGGUUGGAAACCCUAGGGGUGGGGGGCGCCCCACUUGGCUUGGGGGGCAAGCCAACCCCCCUUGGCCGCCGCCCCCCUUGAGAUCCAAUAUCUAGGGUCGGCGCCCCCCUAGGGGCCCUNNNNNNNNNNNNNNNNNNNNNNNNNNNNNNNNNNNNNNNNNNNNNNNNNNNNNNNNNNNNNNNNNNNNNNNNNNNNNNNNNNNNNNNNNNNNNNNNNNNNNNNNNNNNNNNNNNNNNNNNNNNNNNNNNNNNNNNNNNNNNNNNNNNNNNNNNNNNNNNNNNNNNNNNNNNNNNNNNNNNNNNNNNNNNNNNNNNNNNNNNNNNNNNNNNNNNAGCCGCACCAAGUCCCUGGCCCCUCCCUCUCCCCUCGUAACACCUCUCUCUCUCGUUGGAGCUUGGCGAAGCCGUGCCGAGAUCACCGCUGCUUCCACCACCACGCCGUCGUGCUGCCGGAUCUCCAUCAACCUCUCCUUCCCCUUGCUUGAUCAAGGAGGAGACGUCUUCCCAACCAUACGUGUGUUGAAUGCGGAGGUGCCGUCCGUUCGGCCUAGGUCAUCCGUGAUUUGGAUCACGACAAGUACGACUCCAUCAACCCCGUUCUCUUGAACGCUUCCGCUCGCGAUCUACAAGGGUAUGUAGAUGCACUCCUCUCUCCCUUGUUGCUAGAUGACUCCAUAGAUUGAUCUUAGUGAUGCGUAGAAAAUUUUAAAAUUCUGCUACGUUCCCCAACAACCGCCUCCCCUACAACCGCUGGUGAGGCCACCGGCCUCCUCUCCCCUCGAUCUUUGUCGCCGACGCCGUCCACCGCCCGCACGCACGUUCACCACGUCGGCUACCGCGCCUCGGUGCCCCUAAACACGUCCACAGCCGCUCCCUCCUCGCUGCCUGUCUCCCUCGCUCACCGCGCACGCGUGCUCGACUCUUCCCCGACCGCAGCGCGCACCGCACCCCCACUAUGUUCCUGCCUCGCUCGGCCGCACAUCCACGCGCGCUCGCUCGCGCGAGGCCGCGCCCACGGCCGCUCGCUGCUCCGGCCACCCGCGCCCUGCCGCUGGCCGCCNNNNNNNNNNNNNNNNNNNNNNNNNNNNNNNNNNNNNNNNNNNNNNNNNNNNNNNNNNNNNNNNNNNNNNNNNNNNNNNNNNNNNNNNNNNNNNNNNNNNNNNNNNNNNNNNNNNNNNNNNNNNNNNNNNNNNNNNNNNNNNNNNNNNNNNNNNNNNNNNNNNNNNNNNNNNNNNNNNNNNNNNNNNNNNNNNNNNNNNNNNNNNNNNNNNNNNNNNNNNNNNNNNNNNNNNNNNNNNNNNNNNNNNNNNNNNNNNNNNNNNNNNNNNNNNNNNNNNNNNNNNNNNNNNNNNNNNNNNNNNNNNNNNNNNNNNNNNNNNNNNNNNNNNNNNNNNNNNNNNNNNNNNNNNNNNNNNNNNNNNNNNNNNNNNNNNNNNNNNNNNNNNNNNNNNNNNNNNNNNNNNNNNNNNNNNNNNNNNNNNNNNNNNNNNNNNNNNNNNNNNNNNNNNNNNNNNNNNNNNNNNCCCGACCCCCCGCGCGCAUGCACCCGCAACCUACCUCCUGCUCGGUCGCUCCUCCCGCUCGCCCCUGCUGUUGCUGCCACAUCUCCACCCUGCGCGCCCGGCUGCGCUGCACGCCGUGGCCACCCCUCUGCCGCCCCCUGGCCCUGGCCGCCGGCGCUGGCAUGCGCCGUGCGUGCCCAGCGCCCCUCCGGCAUGUGCCCGAUCGGGCAGCCUGUUCGCCCGCGCCCGUUUGGCCCUAUGGGUCAAUGACAUGUGGGGCCCAGUCCUUGGAACGUUUUAAAAAGUUAUAAAAAAUAAAUAAUUUUUUAAUUAAUUAAUUAACUUAAUUAAUUAGGUUUAAUUAAACUAAUUAAAAUCUAUUGUCCUAAUAACCUAGUUAGACUAAAUUAACUAGUUAGUUAAUGUAACAGUCAAUGACACGGGGCACCCCCUUUUGACCAGUCAAACAUUGACUAGUCAACAGGGACCCCCUGGCCCACCAGUCAGCCUCUGGUACACUUCUGUGUACGCAGAGCUGGGUGCACCUAGCAUUUAGCUAUUUAAUUUCUAAUUAAUAAUAAUUCCAGAACAUUAUUAAAACUUUGGAAAAUAAUAUAAAAUAAACCGUAACUCGAAUGAAAAUGUUUUGUACAUGAAAGUUGCUCAGAACGAUGAGACGAAUCUGAAUACGCAGCCCGUUCAUCCGCCACACGUUCCUAGCAUAGCGAACACGCAACUUUCUCCCUCCAGUCCGUCUGUCCAAAAACGCAAAACACUGGGAAUACUUUCCCGGAUGUUUCCCCCUUUGCCGGUAUCACCUAGUACUGAAUUAGGUCACCUAUAGCACCGUGUAUUGCCAUGCUAUGCUUUGAUUGCUCUGUUGUUUAUAGUGUUCCCCCUCUGUUACUUCUUUUCGGUAGACCCCGAGACUGUCGGCGACCCCUAGUUCGACUACGGUGUUGACGACCCCUCCUUCUUGCCAGAGCAACCAGGCAAGCCCCCCCUUGAUCACCAGAUAUCGCCUAUUCUUCUCUCUACUGCUUGCAUUAGAGUAGUGUAGCAUGUUACUACUUUCCGUCAAUCUUAUCCUGAUGCAUAGCCUGUCAUUGUUGCUACAGUUGUUGAUACCUUACCUGCAAUCCUAAAUGCUUAGUAUAGGAUGCUAGUUUAUCAUCAGUGACCCUACAUUCUUGUCUGUGUGCCAUGCUAUACUAUCGGGCCAUGAUCACUAGGGAGGUGAUCACGGGUAUAUAUUAUAAAUCUUAUACAUGAUACAUGUGAUGCCUAAAGACGGGUCAGCUCGUAGAGUACCCGCGAGUGAUUCACUAAUUGGGGGUUGAAAGGACCUUUGUCCCGACGGCCCUCUGGGUGGAUCUUUGUGGCGGAGCGGCAGGGCAGGUUGAGACCACCCAGAAGAGAGGUGGGCCUGGCCCUGGUCGGCGUUCAUGGUUACUUCAAAAUAACACGCUUAACGAGAUCUUGGUAUUUGAUCUGAGUCUGGCCACUGGCCUAUAUGCACUAACCAACUAUGCGGGAACAGUUAUGGGCACUCGACCUUGUGGUAUCAGCCGAAGCCUUCGCGACGUCAACGACUGAGCGGCGCGCGCCGGGUUGGACCGUGUAACGCAACUUCCUUGGAAAUGGAGGUUACUAGGUCUGCUCACUAGUCGCCCUCGCAAUGUGCAGGUGUGUAAUGGCCGAAGGGCCCAGACCCUUGUGCACAUAGGAUUUAGACUGGUGUGCUGACCUCUCUGUUGUGCCUAGAUGGGGCUAUGACGUGUUGAUCUUCCGAGGCCGGGCAUGACCCAGGAAAGUGUGUCCGGCCAAAGGGGAUCGAGCGUGUUGGGAAAUGUGGUGCACCCCUGCAAGGAAGUUGAUCUAUUCGAAUAGCCGUGUCCCUCGGUAAAAGGACGACCCGGAGUUGUACCUUAACUUUAUGACAACUAGAACCGGAUACUUAAUAAAACACACCCUUCCAAGUGCCAGAUACAACCAAGUGAUUGCUCUCUCACAGGGCGAUGAGGGGAGGAUCGCCGGGUAGGAUUAUGCUAUGAGACGAUACUUGGUUAACUUACCAUCUACUCUCUUAUUCUGCUUCAAGAUGGAGGCAGCCAGAAGCGUAGUCUUCGAUAGGACUAGCUAUCCCCCUCUUAUUCCGGCAUUCUGCAGUUCAGUCCACAUAUACUACCCCUUUCAUUGAUACCAAUGCAUAUGUAGUGUAGCUCCUUGCUUGCGAGUACUUUGGAUGAGUACUCACGGUUGCUUUGCCCCCCUGUUGGUGUCAAAACCGGCGGAUCUCGGGUAGGGGGUCCCGAACUGUGCGUCUAAGGCGGAUGGUAACAGGAGGCAGGGGACACGAUGUUUUACCCAGGUUCGGGCCCUCUUGAUGGAGGUAAAACCCUACGUCCUACUUGAUUAAUAUUGAUGAUAUGGGUAGUACAAGAGUAGAUCUACCACGAGAUCAGAGAGGCUAAACCCUAGAAGCUAGCCUAUGGUAUGAUUGUAUGUUGUCCUACGGACUAAAACCCUCCGGUUUAUAUAGACACCGGAGGGGGCUAGGGUUACACAAGGUCGGUUACAAAGGAGGAGAUGUACAUAUCCGUAUUGCCUAGCUUGCCUUCCACGCCAAGUAGAGUCCCAUCCGGACACGAGACAAAGUCUUCAAUCUUGUUCUUCAUAGUCCAACAGUCUGGCCAAAGGAUAUAAUCCGGCUGUCCGGAGACCCCCUAAUCCAGGACUCCCUUAGUAGCCCCUGAACCAGGCUUCAAUGACGAUGAUUCCGGCGCGCAGUGUUGUCUUCGGCAUUUCAAGGCGGGUUCUUCCUCCGAAUACAUCAUGGAAGAAUUUGAAUACAAGGAUAGUGUCCGACCCUGCAAAAUAAGUUCCACAUACCACCAUAGAGAGAAGAAUAUUUCCACAAAUCUAAUUUGCUGACUUGUUUUGGCAACACGACAUUAUGUCAUGGCCCGGUGAUUAUUCGAACCAUUUCCUUUAACUAGCCCCGCACAUAACGCGAGGCAGUUUUCACGUCUUGUCAAAGCAGAGAUCAUGUCCCCUUAUCACGGGAUUCUCAUCAAUACGGGCGUGGGUAACCCAGCUGCGCCAUCGAUUACGGCGCUUGGGGGAUAAGCGAGUUUUACCAGGCUAGUGGGGACUCAUAGUUUCGCCCGCCCAUAUAAAGGGAUAAGGAUUCACCUUUUCAUCCACGCCUUCUUCCUCCUUUGCUCAUCCAUUUUCGCACACCCGAGCUCCAGCGCCCAAGUCCGCAUUUCCCACCUCGACCUUCUACAUGUCCGGAGUGGGAGGCAGGUGGAUGGUCUCCUCCGUCACGGAGGGACACAUCAAGAAGCUGAGGAGAGCCGGAUACCUGCCCGAUGACAUCACGCACUGGCUCCCAGAUGAGGGGCAGCUCAUCCCCACCCCCGGGCCCCAUGAGAGGGUAGUGUUCCUUACCCAUUUUCUCCGUGGACUGGGAUUCCCUCUCCAACCAUUCGUCCGGGGGCUCAUGUUCUACUACGGCCUGGAUUUCCACGAUCUGGCCCCGAACUUCAUCCUCAACAUCUCGGCGUUUCUCGUCGUGUGCGAGGCAUUCCUCUGCAUCAAGCCCCACUUUGGCUUAUGGCUGAAGACCUUCAAUGUCAAGCCAAAGGUAGUGAGCGGCCGCCAAGUGGAGUGUGGAGGCGCCAUGGUGGGCAAUAUGCCCAAUGUCACAUGGCUUGAGGGAUCCUUCAUGGAGACCGUAAAGGGGUGGAAAUCGGGGUGGUUCUACAUCACCGAGCCGCGUGACCCUAAAUGGGCAGCGGCCCCCGAGUUUCGAUCUGGCAUCCCCACACAGCUCACCUCCUGGCAAGAGAAGGGCCUGUCCUGGGGUAGUUCGGGAGAGCUGACCGGACUCCAAACAUGUAUUCAAAACAUGGUGAACAAGAAGCUCAAACUCGUCAAUGUAGUCCAGGUCAUGCUCAUCCGCCGGAUCCUCCCGUGCCAACAACGGGCUUUCAACUUGUGGGAGUUCGACCCGGCCCAGCACCGAACUCUGAAUAGGCUCUUCGACACAACUCACGAGGAUGCCUGGAAGGUGCUAUUCAAGGGUGCCGAGGUUCCCCCUCCCACUACCAAGGAUCGCGGAUUCUGCGCGAAGCGCCAAGCCAGCGCUGUAAGCUAUUUCACCUCUCACAGGAUACUUGUUUUUCAUAGUUUGACUCUAUGCGGGAUCUAAGCUCCCGUACCUUUGACAGGACUGGCAGGAGACGGCCGGACAGAUCGACUAUCCGGCUCCUUUGCCCGAAGGCCCAGCAGACGCUCUCCUGACGAAGAUGUUGACUCCGGCUCCUUACAAGGUGCCGGAGAAGACCAAGAAGGCCAAGGGAACCCGAAAGAGUUCCCGACGCCAGGCGUCAUCAGACUCAUUGUCUGAUAACUCCGUGACACACUCCUCCCCCGAAGACGAGGAGGAAGAAGAAGAUGCUCCCCCUUCAGAUGGGGGAGACAAGAAAAGGAAGGCCGCCCCAACUGGGGAGGCUGAAGGGUCCAAGAAGGGAAGGACUCUCCUUCCAGACAGUUCCACCACCGCCGCCGAAGGCGAAGACGACUGGCUGCUCAGGGCCAAGCCCCUAGCAAAGUUGUAAGUAUUCGGAUACCAGAGUAACUCAUAGUAUUCCUUUGUCGCAUUGCUUCCCCUAACACCGAAUAUGAUUAUGCAGGCCGCCACGAGCCCGUAUCGAUGUAUCAUCGGACGGCUCCCUGGGCUCGUCGGAUAUGGAUAGCAAUCCACUUCCGACCGCCACCUCCCCUUGCCCUGCAGACGACGCCGAGGUAUUUUCUCAAGAGGCACCGGGUCGAGGGGAAACAGUCCCGGAGGCGUCUCAAGGCGACCUUCCGGACUCCGGGAGCAGAGGGAACAAGGCCCCUGAGGUCUCCGAGUUCGGCCCUCAGCCGAACACCACGCCGGACCCUCCAGUGGUUCCGGACUCGGGCAGGCGGCCUCCUUCCAAGAGGGGCAAGACGCCUGUUCCAGUGACCUCUGUCCAUCUAGAGGCGCUGGACAAUCUAUUGGGAGCGCUUCGCAGCGCGUCCAUCGACGAGGAGCACCAUACUAUUAUGAGUACGGUGGUCUAGAAGGUUCGGUCCGCCAAAAGCGGAUUGACUGAAGCCUGUGCCAGCCUUCUAACAGGCUUUGAGGUAAGUGUUUGAAAUAUAGGAAAAAUAUUACCGCAUAGACAGUAACCCCUGAUGCUCUGUUCGGUGUUCAUGAAGAAAAGCCGAACAGAGGAUCAAACAAUAUCGCAGGAGUCUAAUAUAAGUAUGUCAAUAUGCGUAUGCAUGCUUCGCUGCUGGCAUCUGCCGCACUGACUGCGGAGGUCGCCGCACUGAAGCAGGACCUUAAAGGGUCCAAGGACGAGCUCGGCCUUGCCAAGAGGCAGCUCGAGGAGAACAAAGGUAAGUAGUACCUAGUCUAUGGAUAUGUAUAAAAAGAAUGCGAUUGCAAAAUGACAGGAUCAUCAUGAAUUUGCCAGGGGCCACAACCGAAGUGGCGACCCUAAAGCAAGCGCUGUCCGAGGCCGAAGAUAAAGCGGCCAAGGAGUGCACCGAGCGGGAAAGGCAAGAGGCUCGGGUGGGCGAGGUGCGGCAAGAGCUCCAGGCUCUCGUGAUGAAGCACGAGGCGUUGGAGCUUGACUCGAAGACGCAAGAGUUUGAGCUUGCCGCGGCCCUCAAGAGCGCAAAGAGUGCCAAGGACGAAGCCCAAAAGGCCCUCCAGGAGAUUGACGUGAUGAAGAAAAUAGUGGAGGGUAAGGCAUUCUAUAUGCAAAGCAAGCAUGUGAAAGUAAAUUACCUAUUACUUACCCGAAUCUGGAGCUCUCCAAGAGCAUUCGCAGAUUUGCCCUGCAGCGUGUCGGAUGCCGCACAGUUUUAUCAGGCCGAGGAGGGAAGCUCAACGGAGAAGCUGUUCUGGUCUCAGUAUACUGGGACCGAACACCCGAUGCCUCUGAGCGACCAGCUAAAGCAGUUGUUUAAGCUACACAAGGCGGCCGAACAGGCCAUGAAGGGCCUUAUAGUCCGGCUGUGGCCUGGUGACGCCCUUCCGAACAGCUACUUCGGCCUGGUGAGGUGGCUUGUGGAUGCCUGCCCACGGCUGGAGGUCAUCAAACGGUCCGUCUGCAUCGAAGGUGCACGCCAGGCUUUCGCCCGUGUGAAGGUGCAAUGGGCCAAGCUAGACGCCGUGAAGCUGAUCAAGGAAGGACCGCCGCAGGGCAAGGAGCAUCGCACCCUCGAAAUUUAUUAUGAGCAUGUCCUGAAGGGUGCCUGUCUUGUAGCGGACGAAUGUACAAAGGAUGUAAUAUUUGAGUAAACUUGCUCGUGUGAUCCUGUAUGAUGAAAACUUGUUUCAUAUGCGCUAUGCAACGCUUGUUUGAAUUUAAAAUAUUACCUUCUGUUUGGCUGUUUAUCCAAUCUGAGAGAUGGCUAGUCCUCGGCUUCUGCCCCCAUGCCGCUAGUGCUGGGGUGUUCGGGAUAAACCUGAGCACUCUUGUUCCCAUCUUUGGGUCUUUCGAGGGAGGUGCUCAGCACAGCGAACAAGGCGACCGGACUAAUAAUGCUUUAUCACUCUCACUUAGCCAUAGAAUUCUAUAAUUUGAAAUUUCGGCGAAGCCCCUGGUAUUCGGAAGGCCGAAUUCGGGGAGCGGUACACGCCUUUAAGCCAGAUAGGACCGGCUCCUCGCUCUAAGCGGCAUAAGUCUUUAGGGACUCGAAACAUCGCCGAACAGCGGCCAGUCUCUCGCCUUAUCAUGACAGUCAGUUUUAGCUUUCUCUACUGAGGUGCUUAGCCCAGCAGAACCGGGGCAUAAUCGCAGAAGUUCUCCUAGUGCUACCUUAGCCGAUAGAGCGGAACGUAAGGUACCAAAACAUAGGAGCCUGGCAAACCCAACAUUUGACCAAAGACAUGAUUCAGAGCUGAUGCAUAUAAUGCUAUAAGUUUGGGGUGCCGCACUUGUGAAAGUAUUCGGACUUCUCACACCAUAUUGUGGGGUACUUAAGCCCCUGGUGUAUUGGCCGUACCAAAGUGUACGGCUGCAAGGCGUCAUUAAUGAACACAUAUAUAUAAAAAAAGAAGAAUGCAAUAAUAGUCUUAAUGCUAUGCAUUUUUUAUUCAAAAAGGUGUGUUAAAGCAGAAUGAUACAGAUAGUGCGAUAAGCAAAAAGUAGGACUAUGUCCCUUCCAAGGGCAAGCUGAGGAAUAGUAUUAAAGUAAAUAUUUCACUCGUUAUCAUAAUCCACCUGGGAGUUCUGUGGUGUGACGUAGCUUUCUGCCUCCUUGGUUGCUGCAUCAUGUGUUCGGCAAUCAUGCUGCCGGACAGAGUUUCUGGAGAUUAAAGUCCUGAAAGAGAAAAAUAACAAAGCGGGAAGCCCCUAGUGCGGUUUAAGCCGCGUAUUGGGGCAUGCCGUAGUUGUGCCCCCCUCCCCGCCUGUGCCCAUGGUAUUUUUAAUGCGUAAUUAUGUACGUGUGGCACGAAUUUCGCCGUUCGGCUUGGGCCGGGGUGGGGGCCGCAUUGCUACAUGAGCUCAGAUCGUGCCGGGCGGUCUAGUUCCUGAUUACUUCGAGCGCGCUUGAAGGUGUCCGGAUCUUGAAACGCCGAACUAGUGGAUUUCCUUGAGAGGCUGCUUUGCGCUUCUGCUGCGAGGGCCGCAGUGUGCUCCUCCGUGCGGAGAGAGCGCUUUGUGUUUCCAUUAACUAUGAUGGCCCCCCGAGGUCCCGGCAUCUUGAGCUUGAGGUAUGCAUAAUGCGGUACUACAUUGAAUCUUGCAAAUGCGGUUCGCCCGAGCAGUGCAUGAUAGCCACUACAGAACGGGACUAUAUCAAAGAUUAAUUCUUCGCUUCGGAUGUUAUCCGGGGUUCCGAAGACCACUUCCAGUGUAAUUGAGCCUGUGCAAUGGGCAUCUACACCUGGAAUGAUGCCUUUAAAGGUCAUUUUCGUGGGUUUGAUCCUUGAGGGGUCUAUACCCAUUUUGCGCACCGUGUCCUGAUAAAGCAGGUUCAGGCUGCCGCCGCCAUCCAUAAGGACCCGAGUGAGGUGAAAUCCGUCAAUGAUUGGGUCUAGGACCAGUGCGGCGAAUCCGCCAUGACAGAUACUAGUGGGGUGGUCCCUGCGAUCGAAGGUGAUCGGACAGGAGGACCAUGGGUUGAACUUUGGGGCGACUGCCUCCAAUGCAUAUACGUCCCUGAGCGCACGCUUCCGUUCCCUCUUGGGGAUGUGGCCUGCGUAUAUCAUGUUCACCGUCCGCACUUGUGGGGGGAACCUCUUCUGUCCUUCGGUGUUCGGUUGCCGGGGCUCUUCCUCGUCAUUGCUAUGUGGCCCCUUAUCUUUCUUUUCAGCAAUUAACUUGCCGGCCUGCUUGAAUACCCAACAAUCCCAAUUGGUGUGGUUGGCUGGCUUGUCGGGGGUGCCGUGUAUUUGGCACGAGCGAUCGAGUAUGCGGUCCAAACUAGACGGGCCCAGAGUGCUUCUUUUAAAUGGCUUUUUCCGCUGACCGGGUUUAGAGCCUUUGAAUCCGCCAUUGACUGUCGUAUCCUCGGUAUUGUCGCUAUUAAUGCGGAGCUUAUGUUUAUUUCAACGUGACCUGCCAUUGCCGCCCUUGGUAUCCGAAGUACCACGGUUCUUUGAUAUGUUAUUACUGCAAGCCAGCCAGUUGUCUUCUCCCGCACAAAAGCGGGUCAUGAGUGUCGUGAGGGCUGCCAUAGAUUUCGGCUUUUCCUAACCAAGGUGCCGGGCUAGCCACUCGCCGCAGAUGUUGUGUUUGAAAGCUGCUAAGGCCUCUGCGUCCGGACAAUCGACGAUUUGAUUUUUCUUUGUUAGGAACCGUGUCUAGAAUUGCCUGGCUGAUUCCUCUGGCUGCUGAAUUAUAUGGCUUAGGUCAUCGGCGUCUGGUGGUCGCACGUAAGUGCCCUGAAAGUUGUCGAGGAAUGCGGCUUCCAGAUCUUCCCAACAGCUAAUGGACUCUGCUGGCAAGCUGUUAAGCCAAUGCCGCGCUGGUCCUUUGAGCUUUAGUGGGAGGUAUUUGAUGGCGUGUAAGUCAUCACCGCGGGCCAUGUGGAUGUGGAGGAGGAAAUCCUCGAUCCAUACUACAGGAUCUGUUGUGCCAUCGUAUGAUUCUAUAUUUACGGGUUUGAAACCCUCUGGGAUUUGAUGAUCCAUGACUUCGUCUGUGAAGCAUAAGGGGUGUGCGGCGCCUCUGUAUUGGGCUAUAUCGCGACGUAGCUCGAAUGGGUCUUGCCCGCUGUGUUCGGCCCAGCCGGAUUUACUUUUACUGUAUCCGGCGUGACGUUUAUCAUCUUGCAUAGUGGCGCGCCCUCAUGAUCCAUAGAUCGAUCUUGCAUGUUUUGCUUUGUCCUCCAAUACGUCUCGCAGGUCUGGCGUAUUUCCCCAUGCCUUUUUAUUUGAAUGGCAUCAGGGUGCAGGCUGAGUUUUUGGCUGGAAUGCCUCUCUAUCGCGGCCACGAGGUGGCCGAUCAGCCGCAUCAUACGCUUCUUCCUCUAGUCGGGGUAGCAACCUGCAUUUUGGGUAACUCUUGGAGGGGCGCUCGAGUUUAUAUUCCUCGGCCGCGAGGACUUCACUCCAUCUGUCGGCUAGCAGAUCUUGAUCAGCUUGAAGCUGCUGCUGCUUUUUCUUAAGGCUAUUUGCCGUGGCCAUAAGCCGGCGCUUGAAGUGCUCUUGUUCGACGGGAUCCUCUAGCACGGCGAAUUCGUCAUCACUGAGGCUUGCCCCGUAUUCGGAGGGGGGCAUGUAAUUAUCAUCCUCCGCCUCUCCAUCUGCCGCUCUCUCAGGAGGGCUGGCUCCUCCAUCCUCCUGCUCUAAAUCUUGUUGGAGGGGAUUGUUGUUGUCUUCGGCACUAUCCGGAGUGUUAUUAUCUCUUGUGCUGGUAUCACCACUUUUGCUUUGGCGGGACUUAGAGCGGCACCGCUGACGUCGGCGCUUGGGUUGCUUCUUGGAGGGGUCAUCCUCCGCUGUCUCGUCGCCAUUGCCUUCUUUGGGUGUGUCCACCAUGUAUAUAUCGUAUGAUGAGGUGGAUUUCCAGUGCCCUGUGGGCAGUGGUUCCUCUUCGUCUCCCGCAUCAUCGUCCAUACCAUCGAUAUCUUCAGAGUCGAAGUCGAGCAUGUUGGUUAAGUCAUCGACAGUGGCUACUAAGUGGGUGGUGGGUGGGCCGCGAAUUUCUUCGUUGUCCGCAUCCCAAUCCUGCCGGACAUAGUUCGGCCAGGAUCCUCCUGACAAGGAGAGAGACCUUAAUGAGUUCAAUAUGUCGCCAAAGGGCGAGUGCUGAAAAAUAUCCGUGGAGGUAAACUCCAUGAUCGGCGCCCAAUCGGAUUCGCUAGGAACGGGCGCAGGCGGUUCGGAGUCCGUGGCCGGAGAAAGAUCCGGCAAUCUGACAACACGGCUCUCGUGCAAGGUAAGGUCGAUGUUCGGCUCGAUCGCCGCUGAGGGUAAGGCCUCCGUGGUGGGGUCCAUCCACCCGUCCAUGGACGGUGCAUCUGGCUCCGAAUUGAGGGUCGGAGCGGCUACCGGUGCGACCUCCUGAACACUGUCUGAUGGUAGAGAUAAAUCGUACUCAUCGUGACCGCGUGAUGCACAAGGCAGAGGCUCGAAUCCGUCGAAGAUCAAGUCUCCGCGGAUAUCGGCCGUGUAGUUUAAGCUUCCAAACCUGACCUGAUGGCCAGGAGUGUAGCUUUCAAUCUGCUCCAAAUGGCCAAGCGAAUUGGCCCGCAGUGCAAAGCCGCCGAAUACAAAAAUCUAUCCGGGGAGAAAAGUCUCACCCGGGACUGCAUCGCUAUCGAUGAUCGUAGGAGCCAUCAAGCCUAACAGCGACGACACAGAGGAACUCUCAAUGAAAGUACCAAUGUCGGUGUCAAAACCGGCGGAUCUCGGGUAGGGGGUCCCGAACUGUGUGUCUAAGGCAGAUGGUAACUGGAGGCAGGGGACACGAUGUUUUACCUAGGUUCGGGCCCUCUUGAUGGAGGUAAAACCCUACGUCCUACUUGAUUAAUAUUGAUGAUAUGGGUAGUACAAGAGUAGAUCUACCACGAGAUCAGAGAGGCUAAACCCUAGAAGCUAGCCUAUGGUAUGAUUGUAUGUCGUCCUACGAACUAAAACCCUCCGGUUUAUAUAGACACCGGAGGGGGCUAGGGUUACACAAGGUCGGUUACAAAGGAGGAGAUAUACAUAUCCGUAUUGCCUAGAUUGCCUUCCACGCCAAGUAGAGUCCCAUCCGGACACGAGACGAAGUCUUCAAUCUUGUAUCUUCAUAGUCCAACAGUCCGGCCAAAGGAUAUAAUCCGGCUGUCCAGAGACCCCCUAAUCCAGGACUCCCUCAUCCCCCUUUUCCCCUUUCUAUACCCGGUUGUUGCGACCAGGCGUUGGAGUCCAGGAGCCAGACGCCACCAUCGAUGACGACUCCUACUUCACUGGAGGUGCCUACUACUACGUGCAGGCCGCUGACGACGACCAGGAGUAGUUUAGGAGGAUCCCAGGCAGGAGGCCUGCGCCUCUUUCUAUUUGUAUCCUAGUUUGUGCUAGCCAUCUUAUGGCAACUUGUUUAUCUUAUGUUUGUACUCAGAUAUUGUUAUUUCUGCUGACUCUUAUGUAUUCGAGCUGAUGCAUUCGAGCCCUCGAGGCCCCCUGGCUUGUAAUAUAAAACUUGUAUUAUUUUAAUUUGUGUCUAGAGUUGUGUUGUGAUGUCUUCCCGUGAGUCCAUGAUCUUGAUCGUACACAUUUGCGUGUUUGAUUAGUGUACGGUCAAAACGGGGUGCCACAAUAAACCACCUCCAGUGCUUUGCACCGCAGACGGUUAUUGCAGUAGAACCACCUCGAAUGCCCGAUAUACCACAGGUGAUUUCAUUAUCCAACCACUUGUAAUAAGUUACCAGUUGAAGCGGUUUUGGUUUUACAACCACCUUCAUUUGUUUUUUAGAUCAGGUCAAUUUUUUGUAUUUCUUAAGCAGUCGUGCGAAGGAAAUUGGAAGUAAACAUUCAAAUAAAUAUAAACAUACAUCAUUAAUUUGCUCAAAGCUUUGUGUCUCAUAACAUAUAGGCAAACAUGAUAAACAUGUACUUUUACACACUUCACAACUUUAUAAGAGGGUAUCCCAAAAAGCAACAUCCCUAAUUGUUGGGAAACGUAGCAUGCAAUUUCAAAAAAAAUCCUAUGCUCACGCAAGAUCUAUCUAGGAGAUGCAUAACAAUGAGAGGGGGAGAGUGUGUCUAUGUACCCUCGUAGACCGAAAGCGGAAGCGUUUGACAACGUGGUUGAUGUAGUCAAACUUCUUCUAGCUCCGACCGAUCAAGCACCGAAUGUACGACACCUCCGAGUUCUGCACACGUUCAGUGCGAUGAUGUCCCUCGCGUUCUUGAUCCAGCAAGAUGUCGAGGAGGUAGAUGAGUUCCGUCAACACAAUGGCGUGGUGACGGUGCUGGUGAAGUGAUCCGUGUGGGGCUUUGCCUAAGCACCGCGAGAAUAUGACUGAGGAUGUAAACUGUGGAGGGGGCACCGCACACGGCUAACAGAUGUUGUUGUGUGUUCUAGGUGCCCCCUCCCCAUGUAUAUAUAGGUGGGAGAGGGAGGGGAGCAGUAAGGGGGCACCCCAAGUAGGAGGAAUCCUACCUAGACGCCACCCCAAUUCGGCCUCCCCCCUUCCAUAAGUUCCGGAGGGGGAAGGAAGGAGGGGGGAGGAGGGAAGGAAGGGGGAGGCCGAAUCCCUCCCCUUCCUUCUCUCUUCCACUCUUUCCUUCUCCUCUCAUUUGGCCCAUAUGGGGGGCGCAGCGGCCACUGCUGGCUGCUGCGUUUCCCCUCUUGGCCCAUUAGGCCCAUAUCUUUUGCCAGGGGUGCCCGGAACCCCUUCCGGUGACCCGAUAUGUACCCGGUACCCUCUGAAACACUUUCAGUGUCUGAAUACUAUCAUCAUAUAUAUCAAUCUUUACCUCUCGACCAUUUUGAGACUCCUCGUCAUGUCUUGAUCUCAUCUGGGACUCCGAACAACAUUCGGUCACCAAAUCACAUAACUCAUAUAAUACUAUAUCGUCAUCGAACGUUAUGCGUGCGGACCCUACGGGCUCGAGACUAUGUAGACAUGACCGAGACACCUCUCCAAUCAAUAACCAAUAGUAGAACCUGGAUGCUCAUAUUGGCUCCUACAUAUUCUACGAAGAUCUUUAUCGGUCGAACUGUUAUGACAACAUACGUUAUUCCCUUUGUCCAUCGGUAUGUUACUUGUCCGAGAUUCGAUCAUCGGUAUCUUCAUACCUAGUUCAAUCUCAUUACCGGCAAGUCUCUUUACUCAUUCCAUAAUACAUCAUCCCGCAACUAACUCAUUAGUCACUUUGCUUGCAAGGCUUCUUAUGAUGUGUAUUACCGAGAGGGCCCAGAGAUACCUCUCCGAUACUCGGAGUGACAAAUCCUAACCUCGAUUAAUGCCACCCAACAAACACCUUCGGAGAUACCUGUAGAGCAUCUUUAUAAUCACCCAGUUAUGUUGUGACGUUUGAUAGCACACAAGACAUUCCUCCAGUAUCCGGGAGUUGCAUAAUCUCAUAGUAGAAGGAAUAUGUAUUUGACAUGAAGAAAGCAAUAGCAAUAAAACUGAACGAUCAAUAUGCUAUGCUAACGGAUGGGUCUUUUCCAUCACAUCAUUCUCCUAAUGAUGUGACCCCGUUCAUCAAAUUACAACACAUGUCUAUGGUUAAGAAACUUAACCAUCUUUGAUUAACGAGCUAGUCUAGUAGAGGCUUACUAGGGACAUGGUGUUUUGUCUAUGUAUCCACACAUGUAUCAAGUUUCCGGUUAAUAAAAUUCUAACAUGAAAAUAAACAUUUAUCAUGAUAUAAGGGAAUAUAAAAUAACAACUUUAUUAUUGCCUCUAGGGCAUAUUUCCUUCAGUCUCACACUUGCACUGGAGUCAAUAAUCUAGUUCACAUCGCCAUGUGAUUUAACAUCAAUAGUUCACAUCUUUAUGUGAUUAACACCCAUAGUUCACACUGCCAUGUGACCAACACUCAAAGGAUUUACUAGAGUCAAUAAUCUAGUUCACAUUGCUAUGUGAUUAACACCCAAAGAGUACUAAGGUGUGAUCAUGUUUUGCUUGUGAGAGAAGUUUUAGUCAACGGGUCUGCCACAUUCAGAUUCGUAUGUAUUUUGCAAAUUUCUAUGUCUACAAUGCUCUGCACGGAGAUACUCUAGCUUAUUGCUCCCACUUUCAAUAUGUAUCCAGAUCGAGACUCAGACUCAUCCAUAUCGGUGUCAAAGAUUGAUCGACGUAACUCUUUAUGAUGAACUCUUUAUCACCUCCAUAACCGAGAAAUAUUUCCUUAGUCCUCUAAGGAUAAUUUUGGCCGAUGUCCAAUGAUCUACUCCUGGAUCACUAUUGUAUCCCCUUGUCAAACUUAUGGCAAGGUACACAAUAGGUCUGAUACACAACAUGACAUACUUUAUAGAACCUAUGGCUGAGGCAUAGGGAAUGACUUUCAUUCUCUCUCUAUCUUAUGCCGUGGUCAGGCUUUGAGUCUUACUCAACUUCACACCUUACAAUACAUGCAAGAACUCCUUCUUUGACCGAUCCAUUUUGAACUCCUUCAAAUUCUUGUCAAGGUAUGUACUCAUUGAAAAAUCUUAUCAAGCGUCUUGAUCUAUCUUUAUAGAUCUUGAUGCCUAAUAUAUAAGCAGCUUCACCGAGGUCUUUCAUUGAAAAUUCUUAUUCAAGUAUCCUUUUAUGCUAUCCAGAAAUUCUAUAUCAUUUCCAAUCAACAAUAUGUCAUCCACAUAUAAUAUUAGAAAUGCUACAGAGCUCCCACUCACUUUCUUGUAAAUACAGGCUUCACCAUAAGUCUGUAUAAAACCAUAUGCUUUGAUCACCUUAUCAAAGCGUACAUUCCAACUCCGAGAUGCUUGCACGAGUCCAUAGAUGGAUUGCUUGAGUUUGCACACUUCGUUAGCACCUUUAGGAUCGACAAGACCUUUUGGUUGCAUCAUAUACAACUCUUCUUUAAGAAAUCCAUUAAGGAAUGCAGUUUUGACAUCCAUUUGCCAGAUUUCAUAAAAUGUGGCAAUUGCUAACAUGAUUCGAAUAGACUUAAGGAUCGCUACGAGUGAGAAAAACUCAUCGUAGUCAAGACCUUAAACUUGUCGAAAAACCUUUUGCGAUAAGUUGAGCUUUGUAGAUAAUAACACUACCAUCAGCGUCUAUCUUCCUCUCGAAGAUCCACUUAUUCUCAAUGGCUUGCCGAUCAUCGGGCAAGUCCACCAAAGUCCACACUUUGUUCUCACACAUGGAUCCUAUCUCAGAUUUCAUGGCCUCAAGCCAUUUAUCGGAAUCUGGGCUCAUCAUAGCUUCUUCAAAGUUCAUAGGUUCGUCAUGGUCUAGUAACAUGACUUCCAGAAUAUGAUUACCGUACCACUCUGGUGCGGAUCGUGCUCUGGUUGACCUACGAGGUUCACUUGUAACUUGAUCUGAAGUUUCAUGAUCAUCAUCAUUAGCUUCCUCUCUAGUUGGUGUAAGCAUCACUGGAACGGUUUUCUGUGAUGAGCUACUUUCCAAUUCGAGAAAAGGUACAAUUACCACAUCAAGUUCUACUUUCCUCCCAUUCACUUCUUUCGAGAGAAACUCCUUGUCUAGAAAGUUUCCAUUCUUGGCAACAAAUAUCUUGCCUUCGGAUUUGUGGUAGAAGGUGUACCCAAUUGUUUCCUUAGGGUAUCCUAUGAAGACGCACUUCUCCGAUUUGGGUUCAAGCUUAUCAGGCUGAAGCCUUUUGACAUAAGUGUCGCAACCCCAAACUUUAAGAAACGACAGCUUAGAUUUAGACGGUGCCCUAUUUAACGUGAAUGCAACUCUCUCUAAUGCAUAACCCCAAAACAAUAGUGGUAAAUCUGUAAGAGACAUCAUAGAUCACACCAUAUCUAAUAAAGUACGGUUGAGACGUUCGGACACACCAUUACGCUGUGGUGUUCCAGGUGGCGUGAGUUGUGAAACUAUUCCACAUUGUUUUAAAUGAAGGCCAAACUCGUAACUCAAAUAUUCACCUCCGCGAUCAGAUCGUAGAAACUUUAUUUUCUUGUUACGAUGAUUCUCCACUUCACUAUGAAAUUCCUUGAACUUUUCAAAUGU
rnacentral:lncRNA from 1 species